GAUGAACGCUGGCGGCGUGCCUAAUACAUGCAAGUCGAGCGAACAGAUAAGGAGCUUGCUCCUUUGACGUUAGCGGCGGACGGGUGAGUAACACGUGGGUAACCUACCUAUAAGACUGGGAUAACUUCGGGAAACCGGAGCUAAUACCGGAUAACAUUUGGAACCGCAUGGUUCUAAAGUGAAAGAUGGUUUUGCUAUCACUUAUAGAUGGACCCGCGCCGUAUUAGCUAGUUGGUAAGGUAACGGCUUACCAAGGCGACGAUACGUAGCCGACCUGAGAGGGUGAUCGGCCACACUGGAACUGAGACACGGUCCAGACUCCUACGGGAGGCAGCAGUAGGGAAUCUUCCGCAAUGGGCGAAAGCCUGACGGAGCAACGCCGCGUGAGUGAUGAAGGGUUUCGGCUCGUAAAACUCUGUUAUUAGGGAAGAACAAAUGUGUAAGUAACUGUGCACGUCUUGACGGUACCUAAUCAGAAAGCCACGCCUAACUACGUG
rnacentral:rRNA from 1 species